rnacentral:rRNA from 1 species
UACGUAGGGUGCAAGCGUUGUCCGGAAUUAUUGGGCGUAAAGAGCUCGUAGGCGGCUUGUUGCGUCGACCGUGAAAACCCGCGGCUUAACUGCGGGCUUGCGGUUGAUACGGGCGGGCUGGAGUUCGGUAGGGGAGACUGGAAUUCCUGGUGUAGCGGUGAAAUGCGCAGAUAUCAGGAGGAACACCGGUGGCGAAGGCGGGUCUCUGGGCCGAUACUGACGCUGAGGAGCGAAAGCGUGGGGAGCGAACAGG